rnacentral:rRNA from 1 species
UUAAGCGACUAAGCGUACACGGUGGAUGCCCUGGCAGUCAGAGGCGAUGAAGGACGUGCUAAUCUGCGAUAAGCGUCGGUAAGGUGAUAUGAACCGUUAUAACCGGCGAUUUCCGAAUGGGGAAACCCAGUGUGAUUCGUCACACUAUCAUUAACUGAAUCCAUAGGUUAAUGAGGCGAACCGGGGGAACUGAAACAUCUAAGUACCCCGAGGAAAAGAAAUCAACCGAGAUUCCCCCAGUAGCGGCGAGCGAACGGGGAGCAGCCCAGAGCCUGAAUCAGUGUGUGUGUUAGUGGAAGCGUCUGGAAAGGCGCGCGAUACAGGGUGACAGCCCCGUACACAAAAAUGCACAUGCUGUGAGCUCGAUGAGUAGGGCGGGACACGUGGUAUCCUGUCUGAAUAUGGGGGGACCAUCCUCCAAGGCUAAAUACUCCUGACUGACCGAUAGUGAACCAGUACCGUGAGGGAAAGGCGAAAAGAACCCCGGCGAGGGGAGUGAAAAAGAACCUGAAACCGUGUACGUACAAGCAGUGGGAGCACGCUUAGGCGUGUGACUGCGUACCUUUUGUAUAAUGGGUCAGCGACUUAUAUUCUGUAGCAAGGUUAACCGAAUAGGGGAGCCGAAGGGAAACCGAGUCUUAACUGGGCGUUAAGUUGCAGGGUAUAGACCCGAAACCCGGUGAUCUAGCCAUGGGCAGGUUGAAGGUUGGGUAACACUAACUGGAGGACCGAACCGACUAAUGUUGAAAAAUUAGCGGAUGACUUGUGGCUGGGGGUGAAAGGCCAAUCAAACCGGGAGAUAGCUGGUUCUCCCCGAAAGCUAUUUAGGUAGCGCCUCGUGAAUUCAUCUCCGGGGGUAGAGCACUGUUUCGGCAAGGGGGUCAUCCCGACUUACCAACCCGAUGCAAACUGCGAAUACCGGAGAAUGUUAUCACGGGAGACACACGGCGGGUGCUAACGUCCGUCGUGAAGAGGGAAACAACCCAGACCGCCAGCUAAGGUCCCAAAGUCAUGGUUAAGUGGGAAACGAUGUGGGAAGGCCCAGACAGCCAGGAUGUUGGCUUAGAAGCAGCCAUCAUUUAAAGAAAGCGUAAUAGCUCACUGGUCGAGUCGGCCUGCGCGGAAGAUGUAACGGGGCUAAACCAUGCACCGAAGCUGCGGCAGCGACACUGUGUGUUGUUGGGUAGGGGAGCGUUCUGUAAGCCUGCGAAGGUGUGCUGUGAGGCAUGCUGGAGGUAUCAGAAGUGCGAAUGCUGACAUAAGUAACGAUAAAGCGGGUGAAAAGCCCGCUCGCCGGAAGACCAAGGGUUCCUGUCCAACGUUAAUCGGGGCAGGGUGAGUCGACCCCUAAGGCGAGGCCGAAAGGCGUAGUCGAUGGGAAACAGGUUAAUAUUCCUGUACUUGGUGUUACUGCGAAGGGGGGACGGAGAAGGCUAUGUUGGCCGGGCGACGGUUGUCCCGGUUUAAGCGUGUAGGCUGGUUUUCCAGGCAAAUCCGGAAAAUCAAGGCUGAGGCGUGAUGACGAGGCACUACGGUGCUGAAGCAACAAAUGCCCUGCUUCCAGGAAAAGCCUCUAAGCAUCAGGUAACAUCAAAUCGUACCCCAAACCGACACAGGUGGUCAGGUAGAGAAUACCAAGGCGCUUGAGAGAACUCGGGUGAAGGAACUAGGCAAAAUGGUGCCGUAACUUCGGGAGAAGGCACGCUGAUACGUAGGUGAAGUCCCUCGCGGAUGGAGCUGAAAUCAGUCGAAGAUACCAGCUGGCUGCAACUGUUUAUUAAAAACACAGCACUGUGCAAACACGAAAGUGGACGUAUACGGUGUGACGCCUGCCCGGUGCCGGAAGGUUAAUUGAUGGGGUCAGCGCAAGCGAAGCUCUUGAUCGAAGCCCCGGUAAACGGCGGCCGUAACUAUAACGGUCCUAAGGUAGCGAAAUUCCUUGUCGGGUAAGUUCCGACCUGCACGAAUGGCGUAAUGAUGGCCAGGCUGUCUCCACCCGAGACUCAGUGAAAUUGAACUCGCUGUGAAGAUGCAGUGUACCCGCGGCAAGACGGAAAGACCCCGUGAACCUUUACUAUAGCUUGACACUGAACAUUGAGCCUUGAUGUGUAGGAUAGGUGGGAGGCUUUGAAGUGUGGACGCCAGUCUGCAUGGAGCCGACCUUGAAAUACCACCCUUUAAUGUUUGAUGUUCUAACGUUGACCCGUAAUCCGGGUUGCGGACAGUGUCUGGUGGGUAGUUUGACUGGGGCGGUCUCCUCCUAAAGAGUAACGGAGGAGCACGAAGGUUGGCUAAUCCUGGUCGGACAUCAGGAGGUUAGUGCAAUGGCAUAAGCCAGCUUGACUGCGAGCGUGACGGCGCGAGCAGGUGCGAAAGCAGGUCAUAGUGAUCCGGUGGUUCUGAAUGGAAGGGCCAUCGCUCAACGGAUAAAAGGUACUCCGGGGAUAACAGGCUGAUACCGCCCAAGAGUUCAUAUCGACGGCGGUGUUUGGCACCUCGAUGUCGGCUCAUCACAUCCUGGGGCUGAAGUAGGUCCCAAGGGUAUGGCUGUUCGCCAUUUAAAGUGGUACGCGAGCUGGGUUUAGAACGUCGUGAGACAGUUCGGUCCCUAUCUGCCGUGGGCGCUGGAGAACUGAGGGGGCUGCUCCUAGUACGAGAGGACCGGAGUGGACGCAUCACUGGUGUUCGGGUUGUCAUGCCAAUGGCACUGCCCGGUAGCUAAAUGCGGAAGAGAUAAGUGCUGAAAGCAUCUAAGCACGAAACUUGCCCCGAGAUGAGUUCUCCCUGACUCCUUGAGAGUCCUGAAGGAACGUUGAAGACGACGACGUUGAUAGGCCGGAUGUGUAAGCGCAGCGAUGCGUUGAGCUAACCGGUACUAAUGAACCGUGAGGCUUAACCUU